rnacentral:rRNA from 1 species
GACGAACGCUGGCGGCGUGGAUUAGGCAUGCAAGUCGAACGGUAGGAUACCUUCGGGUAUCUGAGAGUGGCGAACGGGUGAGUAACACGUAGGUGAUCUACCCUCAAGAUUGGGACAACCCAGGGAAACUUGGGCUAAUACCGGAUGAAAGCAGCAGUGAUGUUGUUUGAAAGGUGGCGUAAGCUGCCGUUUGGGGAUGAGCCUGCGCUCUAUUAGUUAGUUGGCGGGGUAAAGGCCCACCAAGGCGAUGAUAGAUAGGCGGCCUUAACGGGUGGUCGCCCACACUGGGAUUGAGAUACGGCCCAGACUCCUACGGGAGGCAGCAGUCGAGAAUAGUCUACAAUGGCCGAAAGGCUGAUAGUGCGACGCCGCGUGAACGAAGAAGCCCUUCGGGUGUAAAGUCUUUUAUAUGUGAGCAGUGCUUUCUAUGUGAACAGCAUGGGGAGAGAGAUAUUAGCAUAUGAAUAAGCAACGGCUAACUCCGUGCCAGCA